UACGUAGGGUGCAAGCGUUGCCCGGAAUUAUUGGGCGUAAAGAGCUCGUAGGCGGUCUGUCGCGUCUGCUGUGAAAACUCGGGGCUUAACCCCGGGCCUGCAGUGGGUACGGGCAGACUAGAGUGCGGUAGGGGAGACUGGAAUUCCUGGUGUAGCGGUGAAAUGCGCAGAUAUCAGGAGGAACACCGGUGGCGAGGGCGGGUCUCUGGGCCGUAACUGACGCUGAGGAGCGAAAGCGUGGGGAGCGAACAGG
rnacentral:rRNA from 1 species